UUAAAAAUGUGAAACCCUUCUUGAACCCACAGAUAAUUCCUGAGGUAUAAUCGUCACUCUAAAGAGAACGUUUUUCCUUCAGAGUAAACCUGGCGGCGGCCAUUCACACUUCCAAGAAUCAAGCCUUUCAGAUUCAAGGCUCCCACGGCCACUCUCUCCACUGUUCCCAUCGUCGGAUUCUCCGAGACAUUCUCCAAAUUGAAACAACAAGGCAACGUGGCUUUCAUCCCGUAUAUCACAGCUGGUGAUCCUGACCUUUCAACCUUAGCUCAAGUGCUAAAGGUCCUUGAUUCAUGUGGCUCAGACAUUAUAGAAUUAGGGGUUCCCUAUUGAGACACAUUGGCUGACGGUCCGGUUAUCCAUGCUGCAGCUACACGUUCCCUAGCUAGAGGGACUAACUUCGAUAAAAUUAUUGCAAUGUUUAAGGACACAAGUGCAAUUUUUAAAUUGUGUUACAAAUAAAACGGACUGGAGGUGGUGCCUCAAUAAUCUUGUCCAAUUGCACUAUUCUCAUAUUAUAACCCAAUACUAAAGCGUGGAGCGGAAAAACUCAUGACACACAUCAUAUUCAUGUAACAUGUUUCCCGCAUGAAUAUAUGAUUAUAUCUUUAUGUUACAUUUUCGACUAACCCAUGACUUUGGUAACUGGGGUGAGGUAGACCACUUGGUCUAAUUAUUUAAAUUAAUUUACUAUAGAUUAUCUGGACAAUGAUAAAACUUAUUUAUGUAUUUAUUUAUUUUUUGUCAUACUUUUUUCACAGAACGUUCUCUCAAUAACUUUGUCCAUCGAUGACCUUACUGUAUAAUUAUGCUGUCAUAGAUUUGUAGUUUCUUAAAGUUACCUUCUAUUUUUGCCCCCACAGGUGGUGCCUCAAUAAUCUUGUCCAAUUGCACUAUUCUCAUAUUAUAACCCAAUACUAAAGCGUGGAGCGGAAAAACUCAUGACAACUUUGAAAGAUGCAGGGAUAAAUGGUCUUGUUGUGCCACAUGUCCCUUCGGAGGAGACAGGGAUAUUGAGAAAAGAAGCUGCUAAUAACAACGUGGAAUUGGUUGGUUUUCAAACUUAAUAAUUUUGCUCUUUGUCUGAGCUUUGUAAAGUUGCAUAUUUUAAACCUUAAUAUGGAGUCACGUACAUGCUUGCAAAUGGCUAGUCAUCUGGCUUAAACUGGUAACCUGAUUUUUUAUUAAGGUGGUUGCCAUUGGGACAGAUCAC